AUUGAACGCUGGCGGCAUGCCUUACACAUGCAAGUCGAACGGUAACGGGCCUUCGGGUGCCGACGAGUGGCGAACGGGUGAGUAAUGUAUCGGAACGUACCUUUCAGUGGGGGAUAACGUAGCGAAAGUUACGCUAAUACCGCAUAUUCUGUGCGCAGGAAAGCAGGGGAUCGCAAGACCUUGCGCCGAUUGAGCGGCCGAUAUCAGAUUAGCUAGUUGGUGGGGUAAAGGCUCACCAAGGCGACGAUCUGUAGCGGGUCUGAGAGGAUGAUCCGCCACACUGGAACUGAGACACGGUCCAGACUCCUACGGGAGGCAGCAGUGGGGAAUUUUGGACAAUGGGGGCAACCCUGAUCCAGCCAUGCCGCGUGAGUGAAGAAGGCCUUCGGGUUGUAAAGCUCUUUCGGCCGGGAAGAAAUCGUAUCAGCUAAUACCUGGUGCGGAUGACGGUACCGGCAUAAGAAGCACCGGCUAACUACGUGCCAGCCGCCGCAGUAACAC
rnacentral:rRNA from 1 species